rnacentral:tRNA from 1 species
UGCAUCGGCCGGGAAUCGAACCCUGGCCGCCAGCGUGGCAGGCGAGCAUUCUACCACUGAACCACCGAUGC